AGGCAAAUUUCUUAAAAUUGCAGCAGAUGUGUUAAUGUUUCCACUAGCUGAUCUGUUUAAUUUGUCACUUAAAACAGCAACGUUUCCUUCCAAUUGGAAAACACCCAGAGUUACUCCUUCUUUUUAAAGGUCACCCAAAUGAUAAUGAAAGCUGUUUACUAUAGUCAAAAUAACCCGAGUGAACGUACUAAGACAGCAGCAGUGUAGAGUAGAGUCCAUUCACACCGGCCUUUCUCUCUUAGACUCGGACGGAGAUUCCGUUUCUGGACAGAAGAGGCUUCGCUGCUUCUGCUGGAACUCUGCAGCUGAUCUUCAGAGUUCAACAGAUGGCCACAUCCACACCUGAAGAUGUUUUGACAACAGAAAGAGAAGACCAACUGAGGACACUUUAUCCAGAGAUACUCACCGGGCUGCUGCAAUCCCUUUUAUGGACAACUAAACUAUGACUAAUUUCA